rnacentral:tRNA from 1 species
CGCGGAGUGGAGGAGUAGUACCUCGUCAGGCUCAUAACCUGGAGGCGUCCGUGCAAUUCGGGCCUCCGCAA